GACAGAGGGUGCAAACGUUGUUCGGAAUUACUGGGCGUAAAGCGCGUGUAGGCGGCUCGGCAAGUCGGGUGUGAAAGCCCUGGGCUUAACCUAGGAAUGGCAAUGGAUACUGGCAGGCUAGAGUGCGGUAGAGGGUAGUGGAAUUCCCGGUGUAGCGGUGAAAUGCGUAGAGAUCGGGAGGAACACCAGUGGCGAAGGCGGCUACCUGGACCAGCACUGACACUGAGGCACGAAAGCGUGGGGAGCAAACAGG
rnacentral:rRNA from 1 species